rnacentral:lncRNA from 1 species
CAGACACACACACACACUGUCACAUUUGCAUACAAAGAAGCGGACGCAACGCGAGAAGCUUGCCGAAGAGAGCUGUAGAACGGGACAGACAGGGACAGAGUGCACGCACAUAGCAAAUAUAUUUGCACACGAAGUUCCAACUACACCAACAAACACACAGAAGAGAUACGCGAGUGUUUGUAGGUAAAUAUAUUACUGUAAAUGCACUCCCUGCACGCAUAAAGAAAUUGGAACAAAUGGAAGCUUCCAGAAAUCGCCAGGCAGGUUUGACGACUUGUGAGUUCAUGUUUUGUCUUGUGUGUUUUGUUUGUAAAUGAAAUAACGAGUUUAAGUUAGUAAAAGUAUAAAUAGAUUGCAUUUCUAAAAUAUAUGUACAAACCUUGCAAGUCGAGUCUUAACUUCUUUAUAACCAGUGCAGAACAAUUAAUGCUUCUUAAUUGGUUCAACUUUGUUUUGCCCUUUAAAUCGGGAAUCACUGCAGGAGUACACACACAAAAAAAAAAACUUGUUCUCUCUUGGUCUCUUUUACGCUCGGUUAAUGUUUCAUGGUCUCACGUCCCGACUAUAGUCAUCGUUAAUUGCAUUAUUCACAGCAUUUUAUUUCGCUUGUGCUCUUUUUUGGUUGCAAUUUUUUACUCGACCUACCCCAAGGCUUAUAAAGCUUUUAGGCAGCGCCAAAAGGCUUUAUAGCUGUGGCCGUCAGGGGCUCCUGCAAUCCCUCUCACCUGCCACUAAGGGAAGGAGCAACCGAAGUUGAAAGCGAUACUGUGAUGAACGGGAGAGAGAGAGAGAGAGCGCGAACGGCCCUAUCAAAAGUAAUUAUGAACAAAAGACAGCAACAAUACCAAACUAGGAUUAUGGUGUUCUUAUUUGUUUUCGUUGACCGCAGGACGGAGUCCGGUCGGAGUGCACAAGUCAGGAUUAAUUAAGUUGGAUGGAAAACCAGAAAAAUGCUCCUUUGGCAGGCCACUUCGGAAUUUGUGUUGAAUUCUUGCGUACCUUAUUGUCUUAACUAAACAAUUAUUCGGGGUUAAAGUUUAAUUGCUGUUCUAAAAAUCUUAAAAAAUUGUGCGUAAGAAAUCUUCGGAAAUCUUGUUCUGGUUGUUCCUGAUAAUCAGUGAUUAAUCACUUAAAUUUGAUUUAAUUCCUUAGAUAAAGCAUUUAUCGUGCAGAGUUGUCGUCUCUAGUUUGCUGACUUAAAUUCAUCUUUAAAGCUGAAGUGCCUGCCUGAUGGUUGUGUCCCUGUCAAGUCAGCAUUGACCCUGCAGGAGGCACACAGACACAGACACAGACACAGACACACGGCGACAUGUGCAAUUGUGGCAGCAAUUUAAGCUGCAUCAUGCAACAUCGCCAAACCGGAAGCAAGUGCACCACAAAACACACACAGCAGAGACACACACUGGAGGCACAAACGACUAACAAGGGGCAGGACUGUGGCUGCAACUUCAG